rnacentral:misc_RNA from 1 species
UUCGAGCGUCACUUACACCCUCAAGUCAAACUUUUUGGUUAACUUGGUGUUGGGCCUUGCCGGAAGGCAUGCCUAAAAAUUAGCGAUGGUACGUUAAACCACGGACGCACAAAUGUUGUUACGUAGGGGCACGGCACCAGUCUAAUGAUUAAUUUCUCAAUGUUGACCUCGGAUCAGGUAGGAAUACCCGCUGAACUUAA